rnacentral:rRNA from 1 species
UACGAAGGGGGCUAGCGUUGCUCGGAAUGACUGGGCGUAAAGGGCGCGUAGGCGGGAUGGCAAGUCGGUCGUGAAAUCCCUCGGCUCAACUGAGGAUCGUCGAUCGAUACUGCCGUGCUUGAGGAUUGCAGAGGAGACUGGAAUUCCCGGUGUAGCGGUGAAAUGUGUAGAGAUCGGGAGGAACACCGGUGGCGAAGGCGGGUCUCUGGGCAAUUCCUGACGCUGAGGCGCGAAAGCGUGGGGAGCAAACGGG